rnacentral:misc_RNA from 1 species
GAAGGUUUCAGUAGGUGAACCUGUGGAAGGAUCAAGGACUCAUAUCCACGAUCAUCUACAGUGUGCACAUUUAUCGAACCCUCUGCAUUUGGUAGACUUGGAUCCCUUUAACCGGGGGGAAAACCUGCCAAAUGUUUUUUCAACCAUAGCCUGAUUGCCUGAUUGCUUGACUGAAUUAUAUAUUUGAAAUAAAUCAAAUACAACUUUCAACAACGGAUCUCUUGGCUCUC